rnacentral:rRNA from 1 species
GAUGAACGCUGGCGGCGUGCCUAAUACAUGCAAGUCGAGCGAACGGACGAGAAGCUUGCUUCUCUGAUGUUAGCGGCGGACGGGUGAGUAACACGUGGAUAACCUACCUAUAAGACUGGGAUAACUUCGGGAAACCGGAGCUACUACCGGAUAAUAUUUUGAACCGCAUGGUUCAAAAGUGAAAGACGGUCUUGCUGUCACUUAUAGAUGGAUCCGCGCUGCAUUAGCUAGUUGGUAAGGUAACGGCUUACCAAGGCAACGAUGCAUAGCCGACCUGAGAGGGUGAUCGGCCACACUGGAGCUGAGACACGGUCCAGACUCCUACGGGAGGCAGCAGUAGGGAAUCUUCCGCAAUGGGCGAAAGCCUGACGGAGCAACGCCGCGUGAGUGAUGAAGGUCUUCGGAUCGUAAAACUCUGUUAUUAGGGAAGAACAUAUGUGUAAGUAACUGUGCACAUCUUGACGGUACCUAAUCAGAAAGCCACGGCUAACUACGUG